rnacentral:rRNA from 1 species
AAUGAACGCUGGCGGCGUGCUUAACACAUGCAAGUCGAGCGGAAAGGCCCUUCGGGGUACUCGAGCGGCGAACGGGUGAGUAACACGUGAGUAAUCUGCCCAUGACUUCGGGAUAGCCAGCCGAAAGGCUGAUUAAUACCGGAUAUGACGCCCUCUGGCAUCGGGGGGUGUGGAAAGUUUUUUCGGUCAUGGAUGUGCUCGCGGCCUAUCAGCUUGGUGGUGGGGUAAUGGCCUACCAAGGCUUCGACGGGUAGCCGGCCUGAGAGGGUGACCGGCCACACUGGGACGGAGACAGGGCCCAGACUCCUACGGGAGGGAGCAGUGGGGAAUAUUGGACAAUGGGCGAAAGCCUGAUCCAGCAACGCCGCGUGAGGGAUGACGGCCUUCGGGUUGUAAACCUCUUUCAGCGCAGACGAAGCGAAAGUGACGGUAUGCGCAGAAGACGCACCGGCCAACUACGUGCCAGCAGCCGCCGUAAGAC